UAGUAACGGCGAAGUUGAAGCGGCAACAGCUCAAAUUUUGAAAGCUGGCCUUCGGGUCCGCGUUGUAAUUUGCAGAGGAGGCUUUGGGCGCGGCGCUGUCUGAGUCCCCUGGAACGGGGCGCCAAAGAGGGUGAGAGCCCCGUAUAGACGGAUGCCUAGCCUGUGUAAAGCUCCUUCGACGAGUCGAGUAGUUUGGGAAUGCUGCUCAAAAUGGGAGGUAAAUUUCUUCUAAAGCUAAAUACCGGCCAGAGACCGAUAGCGCACAAGUAGAGUGAUCGAAAGAUGAAAAGCACUUUGAAAAGAGGGUUAAAUAGCACGUGAAAUUGUUGAAAGGGAAGCGCUUGUGACCAGACUUGCGCCGGGCUGAUCAUCCGGUGUUCUCACCGGUGCACUCUGCCCGGCUCAGGCCAGCAUCGGUUCUCGCGGGGGGAUAAAGGCUUAGGGAAUGUAGCUCCUCCGGGAGUGUUAUAGCCCUCUGCGUAAUACCCUCGCGGGGACCGAGGUCUGCGCUCU
rnacentral:rRNA from 1 species